GGAUGAUUAGCUCAGUUGGUUAGAGCACCUCGUUUACACCGAGGGGGUCGCUGGUUCGAGUCCAGCAUCAUCCACAA
rnacentral:tRNA from 1 species